CAGGGAGGUGGUGGGGUCACCGUCCCUGGAGGUGUUCCAGAGCCGUGUGGAUGUGGCACUGAGGACGUGCCUUGGCAUGAGCGCUGGAGCAGCUCUCUUCAAGGGGAAAGUCUGGGGCCAAGGACGGCUGCAGGUGGAGACACCGGGAUGAAGCAUAGGGACACCACGAUACAUCCUGCAGGCUGAGGUGGGAACGUUCCUUUUCUCCUGGCCUUAAGUUUCCCUCCCCUCCAUGCAUAUCUAAGCUGGUGAGGCAAAAAAAUGCCCUGCUCCCCCCUCCGUCCUUGCAGAAAUAGAGUCGGACUUGGAAUUCCCCUCUGUCUCAUGGCUGGGGACACAGGGUCUCGCUGGUGAUCUCAGCCCGGCAGAAACCUUUCUGUGCUGAGAGCAGGCAGCAGCGGAGCAGGAGGCUGGGAAGGAGGAGGGGAGCCAUGGCAGGAAACCAAGAACACAUCAGACACUCUAAAUUUAGAUCUUUUUAUUCAGCUCGGACAAUAUUCCUUGAUUUCUCAUUGUUCGGCGGAGGGCAGAGGGCAGGGGAUCUAUUGAAAGGCUUUGUCCUGAGAGAUGCCACUUUGUCUGGGCACAGGGGGGCGGAGGAGCCGCAGAUUGGGGCGGAUGGGGGCUCCCAUCCCACCGCUCCAGCGAUGCUCGGGCACCUGUGCAGUCCCACUACCCUCAGGGUACCCCCCGUGCCCCAUCCAUGCUGGGGAGCGCCGGCUGCGGGGCCCCACGGUGAGCGGUCCCCGUGGCAGCGGGGCAGCGGGCGCAGGGUGUGUAAAUGCAGGGUAAAUACACACCCGCUCUAUACGUCUCGCUGCCUUUCCGGCACUGCAGCUCAAAGUCUAUUUUUAAACUCCCUCCUUUAUUACACAUGCCAGCAGAUAGCCACGGCCUGCCCACCCCCAUAGCAAGGUGCUGCUCUACUGUGUGCCCAGCAUGGGGAUGGGGCCCGUGGUGGGCCACCGACCCGCUCCUCUGCCCAUCACCGUUGGGCAAUCCGGGGUGCCCGGCCACGUGUGCGUGCUAUUGCAAUGCAGCUGCAGGGUGCACAGUGCCUGGGAUGACGGCUG
rnacentral:lncRNA from 1 species